rnacentral:rRNA from 1 species
AACGAACGCUGGCGGCAGGCUUAAAACAUGCAAGUCGAACGCAUCCUUCGGGGUGAGUGGCAGACGGGUGAGUAACGCGUGGGAACGUGCCCUUCAGUUCGGGAUAACCCAGGGAAAUUUGGGCUAAUACCGGAUACGUGCGAGAGCAGAAAGAUUUAUCGCUGAAGGAUCGGCCCGCGUCUGAUUAGCUAGUUGGUGGGGUAAUGGCCCACCAAGGCGACGAUCAGUAGCUGGUCUGAGAGGAUGAUCAGCCACAUUGGGACUGAGACACGGCCCAAACUCCUACGGGAGGCAGCAGUGGGGAAUAUUGGACAAUGGGCGCAAGCCUGAUCCAGCCAUGCCGCGUGAGUGAUGAAGGCCUUAGGGUUGUAAAGCUCUUUCGUCCGGGACGAUAAUGACGGUACCGGAAGAAGAAGCCCCGGCUAACUUCGUGCCAGCCGCCGCAGUAA